rnacentral:lncRNA from 1 species
GGUGACUACAUUUUGGGUUAAAAACUGCAAGUCCUAAAAUCCCUCCUCAUGUUCAUCUCUCUCUCUCUCAACCUCGCAGCCGUCUCUCACCUUCUCUGCAAAAUCACUAGCCUCUUUCUCUGCAAAUCUCGACGUUGAAGACGAGAUUUGGGCUGAAAUCAAACAGGUAAUGCGAUUUCUAUUCUGGUUUUUCUAUUCGAAUUUAUUUUUGGAUUUUAUGGGCUUUGAAUCGAUUAAUUUUGUUGGGUUUUCCAAAAUAAGAUCGAAAUUUUUAGUUGGGUUUUUGUAAUCAUGUUCGAAAUUUGUUUUGGUUGGAUUUUAGAUGUUGGGUUUUUGAAAUCAUUAAAUUCUUCAUCUUGUAAAUAUGUAGAAUAAAAAUUAUUGCGAGAAGUAAAGUAAUUGGCCCGUGAUGUGCUAUCUGUUUCCUUUAGAUGUUGUGCUCAUCCAUGUUUGACAGCUGAAGUUUUUGAUGGGUCUAUGAACAAAAUCUGGAAUUGUAUUAGAUGUAUGUUUCCUAAAAUUAAAGAUCUGGAAUUUGGGAAAAUUGGGAGAAUCCUCUUCAAUGAAUAAUUAGAUGUCCUUUCUGUUCAUUUAGAAAUUGUAUUAUGUUCAUUAAAAAUUAUAUCUUGUUCAUUUAGAGGAUUGUGCAAACUUGGAGGAGGUGACCUUAAUUCAUCGAUCGGGGUUUGAGGGUUUGGCGGCGAAAUCGACUUUGAUUUGUUGAAUAAAUUUAGAACGCAAAAUCUAGUCUUUUGCAGGGUCAAUCGACAAAAUGCAUAAUUCGCGAUCCGCCAUGAAAUUCGAGAAUGGGGAAUUAUUGUGAGAGUAAGAGGAAGAAACACACCUUAUCUUUCUAUUUUUCUAUUUUAUUUUAUAAAUUUGUUCCAGCUCCAUUGUCUAGUCUUUGGCCCUAAUCUGCACUGUUAUUUUCUUUUCAUCAAAUUGAAUGAUCAAUUUGGAUUUUUUAGGAUAUUCAUGCGUUUAGUAAAUCUGAAUAUAUCUGUUCAUUUAAAAAUUGUGUUCUAUUCGUUUAUAUAUUGUGUUAUGUUCAUUUAGGGCAAGAAGCCUCUCGAGGUGAUAUGACAGAGGAAUUCAAUGAAACGAAGUCUCCGAGGGAUAUGAAAAGCCACAACACGCACACAAUGUCGAACACUGUCAUAGCAGUAGCGAAGAACGCGAGCCUGCUCGGAUCUGCUGGACUUUUGGAUGAUACAAAUAUUUUCAUUUGGAUUUCUAUUCAUUGAAAAAUGAUAUCUUGUUCAUUAAAAAUUGUAUUUUGUUCAUUGAAAGGAAUAUGUUCAUUUAAAAAUUGUGUUUUGUUCAAUGAAAUAUGUUCUGUUCAUUUAGAAAGUGUACUC